rnacentral:rRNA from 1 species
AACGAACGCUAGCGGCAUGCCUAACACAUGCAAGUCGAACGAUCCCUUCGGGGAUAGUGGCGCACGGGUGCGUAACGCGUGGGAACCUGCCCUUAGGUUCGGAAUAACUCAGAGAAAUUUGAGCUAAUACCGGAUAAUGUCUUCGGACCAAAGAUUUAUCGCCUUUGGAUGGGCCCGCGUUGGAUUAGCUAGUUGGUGGGGUAAAGGCCUACCAAGGCGACGAUCCAUAGCUGGUCUGAGAGGAUGAUCAGCCACACUGGGACUGAGACACGGCCCAGACUCCUACGGGAGGCAGCAGUGGGGAAUAUUGGACAAUGGGCGAAAGCCUGAUCCAGCAAUGCCGCGUGAGUGAUGAAGGCCUUAGGGUUGUAAAGCUCUUUUACCCGGGAUGAUAAUGACAGUACCGGGAGAAUAAGCCCCGGCUAACUCCGU